UACGAAGGGGGCUAGCGUUGUUCGGAUUUACUGGGCGUAAAGCGCACGUAGGCGGGUUGUUAAGUCAGGGGUGAAAUCCUGGAGCUCAACUCCAGAACUGCCUUUGAUACUGGCAACCUAGAGGCUGGAAGAGGUUAGUGGAAUUCCCAGUGUAGAGGUGAAAUUCGUAGAUAUUGGGAAGAACACCAGUGGCGAAGGCGGCUCACUGGCUCGAUACUGACGCUGAGGUGCGAAAGCGUGGGGAGCAAACAGG
rnacentral:rRNA from 1 species